AGAGCAGGGCUGAAGCCAUAACAGAAGCACUCAAGGUGCAGCCAUAUCAGAUUCAAACAAAUCUGCGAAUUCUGCU
rnacentral:ribozyme from 1 species